GUGUUGUGUGAAAGGAGAGAAGGCUAGCACUCCCCUUGAUAAGGAUGGAAGGGGUCCUAGUGGCCUUACAACACACAAGCAAUUAAGGCAUUGCCACCUACUUAGUGGUAUGUCAUAGAGAUGUAC